GACGAACGCUGGCGGCGUGCCUAAUGCAUGCAAGUCGCACGGGCGGCCUUCGGGCCGUCAGUGGCGCACGGCUGAGGAACACGUACGUACCUACCGUCUUGUGGGGGACAACCCCGGGAAACCGGGGCUAAUCCCGCAUACGCUCGUAAGAGGAAAGCGGCUUCGGUCGCGCAGGACGCCGGGCGUGCGGCCCAUCAGGUUGUUGGCGGGGUAACGGCCCACCAAGCCGGUGACGGGUCGCUGGUCUGAGAGGAUGACCAGCCAGACUGGGACUGAGACACGGCCCAGACUCCUACGGGAGGCAGCAGCAAGGAAUUUUCGGCAAUGGGCGCAAGCCUGACCGAGCAACGCCGCGUGGUGGAUGACGGCCUUCGGGUUGUAAACACCUUUUGGGGGGGAUGACAUCGACAGUACCCCCCGAACAAGCCCCGGCUAACUCUGUGCCAGCAGCCGCGGUAAGACAGAGGGGGCAAGCGUUGUCCGGAAUUACUGGGCGUAAAGCGCACGCAGGUGGCGCGGUAAGUGGAGUGUGACACCCCACCGCUUAACGGUGGGACGCCAUUGCAGACUGCCGCGCUCGAGCCGUUCAGAGGUCAGUGGAAUUGCCGGUGUAGGAGUGAAAUCCGUAGAGCCCGGCAGGAACACCCACGGGGAAGCCAGCUGACUGGGAACGCGCUGACACUCAUGUGCGACAGCGUGGGGAGCGAACCGGAUUAGAUACCCGGGUAGUCCACGCCGUAAACGAUGAUGACUCGGCUUCUGGGCAGGUCAAACUGCCUGGGAGCCACAGCUAACGCGGUAAGUCAUCCGCCUGGGAAGUACGAGCGCAAGCUUAAAACUCAAAGGAAUUGACGGGGACCCGCACAAGCAGCGGAGCGUGUGGUUUAAUUCGACGCAACGCGAACAACCUUACCUAGAUUUGACAUGGCCCUGCACGCCCGCGAAAGCGGGUCGCCUUCGAGGGUGGGCCACCGGUGCUGCAUGGCUGUCGUCAGCUCGUGUCGUGAGAUGUUGGGUUAAGUCCCGCAACGAGCGCAACCCCCGUCGCCAGUUACUUGUGUCUGGCGAGACUGCCCCUCGGGGAGGAAGGUGGGGAUGAUGUCAAGUCCGCAUGGCCCCUACGUCUAGGGCUACACACACGCUACAAUGGCCGUCCUAAUCCGUCGCGCGUGGGCAACCACCAGCUAAUCGCCAACGACGGCCGCAGUGCAGAUCGGGGGCUGCAACUCGCCCCCGUGAAGACGGAGUUGCUAGUAACCGCGCAUCAGCAUGGUGCGGUGAAUACGUACCCGGGUCUUGUACACACCGCCCGUCACGUCAUGGGAGUUGUCAACGCCUGAAGUCCGUGGGCUAACCGGGCAACCGGAGGCAGCGGCCGAGGGCGGGGGCAGCGACUGGGACG
rnacentral:rRNA from 1 species